AUCUGCCUGGUAGUGGGGGACAACGUUUCGAAAGGAACGCUAAUACCGCAUACGCCCUACGGGGGAAAGCAGGGGACCUUCGGGCCUUGCGCUAUCAGAUGAGCCUAGGUCGGAUUAGCUAGUUGGUGAGGUAAUGGCUCACCAAGGCGACGAUCCGUAACUGGUCUGAGAGGAUGAUCAGUCACACUGGAACUGAGACACGGUCCAGACUCCUACGGGAGGCAGCAGUGGGGAAUAUUGGACAAUGGGCGAAAGCCUGAUCCAGCCAUGCCGCGUGUGUGAAGAAGGUCUUCGGAUUGUAAAGCACUUUAAGUUGGGAGGAAGGGUACUUACCUAAUACGUGAGUAUUUUGACGUUACCGACAGAAUAAGCACCGGCUAACUCUGUGCCAGCAGCCGCGGUAAUACAGAGGGUGCAAGCGUUAAUCGGAAUUACUGGGCGUAAAGCGCGCGUAGGUGGUUCGUUAAGUUGGAUGUGAAAUCCCCGGGCUCAACCUGGGAACUGCAUCCAAAACUGGCGAGCUAGAGUAGGGCAGAGGGUGGUGGAAUUUCCUGUGUAGCGGUGAAAUGCGUAGAUAUAGGAAGGAACACCAGUGGCGAAGGCGACCACCUGGGCUCAUACUGACACUGAGGUGCGAAAGCGUGGGGAGCAAACAGGAUUAGAUACCCUGGUAGUCCACGCCGUAAACGAUGUCAACUAGCCGUUGGAAUCCUUGAGAUUUUAGUGGCGCAGCUAACGCAUUAAGUUGACCGCCUGGGGAGUACGGCCGCAAGGUUAAAACUCAA
rnacentral:rRNA from 1 species